GAGGCGCAAGAAGAUGUAGAGAACUCGUCUCCCUUCCCAUAAGCACGACAGAGGAAACACACGAGACACUGGAUAUAGGGUUGGGCCUCUGGCCUCUUUCUCUUCUCUAUUCCAUAUGAGAGGUGCAGGUUCUAUAUAUAGAGACGCGAUAGCCCUCAGGGCUAUAUUCGGUAUUUGCCCACAUAACCCUUCAUUAGGGUUUCUCAACACUCCCCCUUGGGCGAAUACCGCGACCAACACAUGCCUCGUUAAAACUCCAAAAAAACCCAGUGGGAAAAAUAUGGAGAAAGAGUGCAUGGUGAUACAAAUUGCAUUUGCACUUUGUUGCCUCGUUAAAAAUCUCAUGUGAGAAACUUCAAGAAAACUCACCAAGGGAAAAAGAGUACAACAGCUGUCAUCGGGACAGAUUUCGAUCCUCUGGGAUCUAGAUUCUACUGAAUCUUCUACAAAGGCUAACUUUAGAAAUAUGCUCCCCCUGAUCACAUAUUUGAUAGAAACUUCCAUAAAGGUUCACAUAUUGAUCAUCAAGCUGACGCCUUCAGGGCAUAGAAUAUGACAUUUAUUGUCACACGAUUGUGAUCAAUAUAAGCAUUCGCUCCCCCUGAUGAUGACAUAUGUCAAAGUCGUUAUCCCUCAUAACUCAAGCAUAUUCUUCAAGAUAUAUAUCUCAUUGUUCAUCUGGAAUAACGAGAAUGGAUGAGGUUGGGGUGCUAUCAUUUUCUAUCUUACACCACAAUUUAUACAUAGUUGUGCAAAGCAAAUAACAUGUCCUUCAAUAGGACUUAGGGGAUAAUAUAGUUGCAAUAGUACAUAUUCUAAAUAUGACACAUCGCUCGAGGCGUUCAUCCAUUGCAACAUCUAUGAUGAUGUCACAAAAGUCCAUCUAAGAUCGUAAUCCAUCAGGGAUUUUUCAUCGAUCAGAUACAUCAUUAUAGUCUAUCAUUCUGGCAUAAUGGGGAUAUUUUGCCAGUAACACCUAAACCUUAUAGGUUUCUGCCAUCGGGGCUUUAGAGGAUACCGUAAUUCCACAUCAAGUGAAAAUACCAUGAGUAAAACUCGUGGAAUGCACAUGUGCUUAUUCGAUGAACUUCAAGUCCUUUGGUACCUCAUCUUAUUCCUUUUCGGGUCUGUAUGGGUCUUUAUCCCUUUAUAGGGAUUAUCAAACUUUGGUGUUUAACACAGACUUUAUGUCUUCUGGAAAGGUUCCAUCUAGGAACUAUAAUCUCAAAUAGAAGAUAUUCUCUCUACAUAGGAGAGUGUUCAUUCGUCGGGAAUGUAUUAUUUGAUACUAGAUUUAUAUGUUGCAUAUUUAUAAUUCAAAGAUAUGAGUCCUCCUAGGAUCUCAUGACGGAUCUUCAGAAUCCUAUUAACUGCAUAUUUUAAUUCAUGCCAUUUGCCAGAUAAAAUACAUAGCGGAACAGUGGUUAUUCAAUACAUAUGUGGGAUGGGUCUCUCACAAGACCACUUGAACCAUCGCAUUCACCACACAUUAUUUCAAUAGUGCCCAUAAAUGUCCGAACUUCAAGCUCGUGACUUUCAUUUUGCGAUUAUUGGUUCAGCCCCGAUUGCAUUUAUCAAUGACCCGAUAAGAGAACUUAAAGCACUCAUGCCUAGGACUUUGUUUUGGAUCCCUUUGCAAUCUAGAGAGGCAAGAUAGGUGUCGACACAUUUGUCUCCCACAUUUAAUAAUGAUCUCCGUCAUUUCCCAAAACGAAAGAUUCAUUGUUCCGUAUUCCCAGCACAAUGAUAUUGCGUGCAUUGCUAGGAAUUUCAUCAUCAAGAUGAACCUCUUCGUGAGGCAAAUCACCAUCAGGGUGAAUUAAUCAGAGGAGAGUUAUCACAGACCACAUGAAUCUGCAAUCAGAACAUAUGCUUUGACUAAGGCCAAUGGACCAUAUCCGCAGGCGUCCCCGAGAAUAGAUCAAAUGCCAAUAAGUCAAAUGUGGAUAUGAUAUUAAUCCCGGGUAUAUCCACAUCUACAUCAGGUAGAAGCAUUCAAACCAAUAUGGUUACUCCUCAACGAUUUCUGGCAAACUCCAUAUACACAGGAGUACACUCUGAACGACGAGUUCAGUUUGGCUUUUGUGCGUUUAAUAGAAUAUUGAGGCAUUACACUAUAUGGGCAUUCCUCCCCCUAAUGCCGAGAUGUUCUAAAAGCAUACAGAUAAAAUCCCCAACCACAAUCAUCCAGUUGUGGCCAAUGUAUGCUAUUGUGGUGAUUUAUUUGGGAAAUCUUACGCACAUUACAGAUAGGGGUUUUAUGCAGUGAGCUUUGGACUUAGAUUAAUGUAGUGGCAUGAAUACUACAUAUUUGUCCUUCACAUGAAGGGUUAGUCUCAACAUCCAGCGAGACUCGCAACAACAAGUUGCUUCAUAGUUAUAAUUCUGCAAACUUAUUGUUAUUAUUACCAAAUGCACAGUCAAUCAUUAAGAUUUAGACUGAUAUACGCAACACUAUUUUAUGCAUAGGGGUCCCUCAGAGGCUCAUGCACACCAUUCGUCGUUUGGAGCUAGUAGUUGACUUCAGAUCAACAACUAAAAUGACCAUCAGGGUCUAGCGCUCACAAGGACAUUCACUGGUUGCAUUGUGCUUUCAAGCACAUAGGAGAAUAUGUGUGUAUAUAAUGGUGGUAAAGUGCACGGCAUCAGGCCAAUGCUGCCAAGCAAAGAUUUUUAUAUGCAGAGAUGUAUAGUCCACCUCGUUUUAUUAUUGCCCAUGGUUUACCCAAUUACUCAUACCGAUAUGAAAUUGGGUAUCAAUUUAUGCAACAUUUUUAGGUAUUAUAAUUUUGAGAGAGAACUUAUAACAAUAGUCAAUUAUUUAUGGUGUUACCAGCAGGGCAAAUAUUUCUCCUCAUAUUAUAUACCAACUUGUUCUAUAAAGCAUUAUUUCGAUCUCUUCAUUGUUCAGCAAAAAGAGAAGUUUUGGAAUAGAACAGACAAGGCCAAGAAUUCAUUUUAUCUGGGAAAAAUCAUCAUAUAACUAGCUUUUGAUGAAGUAAAUGAUGAUAACUGCUUGGCAAGAACAAAACAAUAUUGGUAUCUGCGUAGGAUCCAUCUUCAACAACAGAUAGUACUGCUCUCAUACGAAUAAAUCAUCAGGGGUAGAGAGGAUACAACAGGUCUCUACAAGAUCUUCAUAUUUCUAUCACUAGUAGUCUAGUGGUCAAGACAUAUGACUCUUCUGGCUCCGAGGACCAAGGACAUGCUAAUGUCUAAUUUAGCUUCAAGCUCUAUUGUGAUGUGGAAUAUCAUAAUUAUUUGUCUACUCUUCUCAUUUCUGGUAGAUCGGAGGUAGAUAAUGGUAAGCAUGCCAAAGGGUAGAAUUCAGUGUAGUUCGGCUACAUAAACCUCAGGUAUGUGUCCAUUCAGGACCGACCUUUACCAUUUAGCUUACACUAUAUACCAAACUUGUCAAAGGACUAUCUCGAGUCAAUUCAGUGACUAUAGGUAUUUACAAUUCCGAGAGAUGUAUGCGACACAAGCAUAGAGGUCCUAGAUAGAACGAGUAAAGUGGUUCGACGAGAACACACUAUGGUUUUCACACCAACAUAGUGAAAAAUUUCUCAGAAUAACCUCUCGGUAUAAUCGCAACUUCGUGUUGCUAGCAGUUACAUGUCCUUUUAUCUUAUAGUUUGUUUCAUGUCAUCCAGCGACAAAGAGAGCAAUGUGCUAACAUCUGGUUAAGCAAUGUAUGACUGAGAUUUCUGAUCUUAAAUCAUUUGGUAAGGUCUUUUUGCUUACUAAUAUAAUCCCAAUUUGUGAUAUCUUCUAUGCCAAAAAGGCUUUCAUGCAUUAUAUUAUAUAUCUUCAGGUUACUUCGGGUAAAACUUUAUGCAUGAGGAGAGAGCAGAUAAUUAACUUAUCCAUGUUCUGUUGUAUUUCAAUUUAAUUUCCCAGAUUAUUCAAGCACUAUAGAGCUUGAUAUAGUUGUUAUGGCCACUUGGCGAUAUAUAUAAAUAUAUGAUGCCACACAACACAAUCAAAUAAAAUAUAGAGUCAAACAAAAUUGUUUAUAAAGGUUGCGGUAUGAUGUGACUUCAGGGGCUUGAACAACCCACCGCAAUCCACGCGAGUACAAGCUCUAGCGUCUAGUGUCAAUGCGUGUGCGGCCAUCAGGGCCACGACAACACAACAAAGCCUUCGUAAUAAGCGCAACAGACACAAUUAUGGCUCGGUAAUCGGGGUACACGAUAAGUCCACGCAACGUGCGCAACAGGCGCAAUUGUGGCUCGAUGAUAACGACAAACGAACAGUGCCUACAGGGCAUGCGAAAAGUAUGUGACUCGGCGAUGGAGGUCCAACUGAACAGGAGUGGUCCGAUUAAGUGAGAGCGCGACAUAGCAAUCACAUGACGCAGCCAAGUUCGUACGACACAAAUACUGCGUCGUGUUGCCAGGGCGCAGCCAGUGCUCAGCCAAUGCCAUAACUCGGUCGAUUACCAACGCAGCCUGAUCGGCGUGUCCGAGUACCCACUAUACAAUUUAAUUGCUCGACGUGAGUCCAAAAGCUCAACAUAAUAUAAAUAUUUAGAGCGAUUUAAGUAUGCACAAUAAAGCCUUCAUAUGUAUUUUAAUUUUCUGCUAAGUAUCUUCUACAGGAAAUAAAAGCAGAAAACAAACAUAAUAAAUAAUUAAUGCAUAAACAUAACACAUCAUGUGUAAAAGGCAAUUUUUCAUAUUUAAGCAUGUGUUUUUCUACUAAUUAUUUACACCGGAAAAUAAUUAAUUAAGGUAGAAAUGACAACAUAAAACAUGCUUUAUUUUAUUUUUGUCAAGCAAAUCAAGGAGUUGCUUAGAUUAUUUUCAUAUAACGGUGGGAUGAGUAAUUUAGACGAGGGGCUACUCCAUGUUGGUGUACGGCUGGAAACGGCCAUCGGCUGCAACGCAUGCGGCCCCUAGAAAGCACGUAGCCUUAUUGUUUAUCCAACCCAAAAGGAGCAGAGGAAAGGAAAUGGUCCACGACAUAUCAUUUGCUCUUGUUUGCACACUGCACUGUGAUAUGCGAACUCCUCUCUCUCUCCUUUCUUUUCUCAGCCACUCAUCACGCCUGGUCAAAGAAGUGCAUGCACAUUUUUUUAGCCGGAUGACCCGCUCUUGGGAGCUCCUGCAUGCGUGGGGAUGAGAGCCCCACCACCACACAUUUUUUUUACUCAGUAAAAGGAGGAGUGCAUGCACGCAUGCAAGUGCUGCACUCUCUCCCUCGGUUGAACGGUUCAGAGGAGAGAUCAGACCACAUCCAUUUAGGCUAGGCCAGUUUAUUGCCGUAUCUUUGACCAUGCACGCAAGAUUUCUCCCAACGCGUGGGCGCAACACCACUACGUCAAUCGCAGUUUGUCGCGCAUGAAUUACAAUCCGUACACAAUAACGGAUCAACCAAUAAACAUACCGCUCGUGUGUAGAGGGAGAAUCGAAGCCUGUCGCGUAGGACAGUUCGGCUAGGCCGGAGGACCUGCCGGCUUGACGAAGAGUUGAUGCAGAUCUGAUCUCGCAGCAACAUCGAGGUAGAGCGUGUUGAUAACGUGUUGAGAACUACGUUACCACGGAUCACCAGAUCCGCUCCCUUCCCUCCUGUCAGCAGUAGAGGCGCAAGAAGAUGUAGAGAACCCGUCUCCCUUCCCAUAAGCACGACAGAGGAAACACACGAGACACUGGAUAUAGGGUUGGGCCUCUGGCCUCUUUCUCUUCUCUAUUCCAUAUAAGAGGUGCAGGUUCUAUAUAUAGAGACGCGAUAGCCCUCAGGGCUAUAUUCGGUAUUUGCCCACAUAACCCUUCAUUAGGGU
rnacentral:lncRNA from 1 species